AUUUGCAUGUGGAUGUGUAAGUAACACAUGGAAAAUAAUUAAAAUCUCCUCUAAACUUACAGAAUAAAGUCAAAGCUUUUUAGGAAGAAAACUCAUGGUCUAAGAUACUCAUAUUAAUGGAGGGAAAAGAGUGAAAACAGAUGAGUAUGAAGAACCAGGACUUGCAAACUGGAACCACCAAAAGAUGCACAGAAGAUCUAAGAAAAGUCUGCUCC
rnacentral:lncRNA from 1 species